UGACGUCGCGCCAACCUUCAAAUCGUCGACCUGCGUGUCCAAAAGAUUUCAAUAAAUAUUCUCGUGGAAUAACAACUCGCACGAUCGGUCCUUUAACACCGCAAGCAAUGCGUCUGCCAAGCCAGGCGACAGAAACGAUGCGCCGCAGAGGCAACACUGGAAAUCGUCGUUCACGACGAAGACGAGCAACGAACGAAUGCUGUCGGUCGAUCAAUCCAUUCAUUCAUUGUUACUGGGAGGUUCGCAAGCAGUACGAGGGAGAAUAUCCUUCCCAGAUUAUCGCGAGAAUCGCGGCAGGUCGAUGGGAAACGAUGAGAAUCGAGGAGAAGCAGAUUUACGUUCGGGCUGCAACGGAACAGCGUAAGAAACGCAGCAAGGCUUUCUUCAGAAGGAAUUAGAUUCUCUCCGUGAGCUCGUGGAAUUUCAAGAAGCAAAUUAGCAGAUCGAAGUUUCAAUUACACAGAAAAUUGCGCGCUCUCCUGGCCCUCUUCGCGAAAUUGUCCUCCCGGCGCUGCAAGACAUUUUGGACGAGCGGAAAACGUUUUCACCCGGAUCGGAGCAUCGGAAAUCGGUUGGAUGUUCGACGAAUUUUUGUACAGCGCGACGCGGCGCGCGGCUUUUGUAUUUUUGGUUUUUCCGUUUUAGAGGGAAUUGUUAAUUUGUGAUGAACCUUUUGCACCGGUUUGUAUUGUCUUGUCAGUUUAUUGUACUGGAACUGUGUAAAAUAUUAUAUUGAGUUUGCAUAUUA